AAUAUUGGACAAUGGGGGCAACCCUGAUCCAGCCAUGCCGCGUGUGUGAAGAAGGUCUUCGGAUUGUAAAGCACUUUAAGUUGGGAGGAAGGGCUUUAGGUUAAUACACUGAAGCUUUGACGUUACCAACAGAAUCAGCCCCUGCUAACUCUGUUCCAGCAGCCGCGGUAAUACAGAGGGUGCAAGCGGUAAUCGGAAUUACUGGGCGUAAAGAGCGCGGAGGACAUUCAAUAAGAUGGGUGUGAAAUCCCCGGGCUUAACCCGGGAACGUCUUUCAUAACUGCUGGGCUAGAGUACGGUAGAGGGUAGUGGAAUUUCCUGUGUAGCGGUGAAAUGCGUAGAUAUAGGAAGGAACACCAGUGGCGAAGGCGACUACCUGGACUGAUACUGACACUGAGGUGCGAAAGCGUGGGGAGCAAAC
rnacentral:rRNA from 1 species